CACGUAGGGCGCGAGCGUUGUCCGGAAUUAUUGGGCGUAAAGAGCUCGUAGGCGGCCUGUUGCGUCCGCUGUGAAAGCCCGGGGCUUAACCCCGGGUCUGCAGUGGAUACGGGCAGGCUAGAGGUAGGUAGGGGAGAAUGGAAUUCCCGGUGUAGCGGUGAAAUGCGCAGAUAUCGGGAGGAACACCGGUGGCGAAGGCGGUUCUCUGGGCCGUAACUGACGCUGAGGAGCGAAAGCGUGGGGAGCGAACAGG
rnacentral:rRNA from 1 species